UCUGAUCACCUGGACUUGCACCAGGAACUUAUCGGUUUACAGCCGAUUGCUCUACUAUUGAGCUAUGACCAG
rnacentral:tRNA from 1 species